rnacentral:rRNA from 1 species
ACGAACGCUGGCGGCACGCUUAACACAUGCAAGUCGAACGAGAGAAGAGAAGCUUGCUUUUCUGAUCUAGUGGCGGACGGGUGAGUAACACGUGAGCAAUCUGCCUUUCAGAGGGGGAUACCGAUUGGAAACGAUCGUUAAUACCGCAUAACAUAAUUGAACCGCAUGAUUUGAUUAUCAAAGAUUUAUCGCUGAAAGAUGAGCUCGCGUCUGAUUAGCUAGUUGGUAAGGUAACGGCUUACCAAGGCGACGAUCAGUAGCCGGACUGAGAGGUUGAUCGGCCACAUUGGGACUGAGACACGGCCCAGACUCCUACGGGAGGCAGCAGUGGGGAAUAUUGCACAAUGGAGGAAACUCUGAUGCAGCGAUGCCGCGUGAGGGAAGAAGGUUUUAGGAUUGUAAACCUCUGUCUUCAGGGACGAAAAAAGACGGUACCUGAGGAGGAAGCUCCGGCUAACUACGUGCCAGCAGCCGCGGUAAUACGUAGGGAGCGAGCGUUGUCCGGAAUUACUGGGUGUAAAGGGAGCGUAGGCGGGAUCGCAAGUCAGAUGUGAAAACUAUGGGCUUAACCCAUAAACUGCAUUUGAAACUGUGGUUCUUGAGUGAAGUAGAGGUAAGCGGAAUUCCUAGUGUAGCGGUGAAAUGCGUAGAUAUUAGGAGGAACAUCAGUGGCGAAGGCGGCUUACUGGGCUGGAACUGACGCUGAGGCUCGAAAGCGUGGGGAGCAAACAGGAUUAGAUACCCUGGUAGUCCACGCCGUAAACGAUGAUUACUAGGUGUGGGGGGACUGACCCCUUCCGUGCCGCAGCAAACGCAAUAAGUAAUCCACCUGGGGAGUACGACCGCAAGGUUGAAACUCAAAGGAAUUGACGGGGGCCCGCACAAGCAGUGGAGUAUGUGGAUUAAUUCGAAGCAACGCGAAGAACCUUACCAGGUCUUGACAUCGUAUGCAUAGCUCAGAGAUGAGUGAAAUCUCUUCGGAGACAUAUAGACAGGUGGUGCAUGGUUGUCGUCAGCUCGUGUCGUGAGAUGUUGGGUUAAGUCCCGCAACGAGCGCAACCCUUACUGUUAGUUGCUACGCAAGAGCACUCUAAUAGGACUGCCGUUGACAAAACGGAGGAAGGUGGGGAUGACGUCAAAUCAUCAUGCCCCUUAUGACCUGGGCCUCACACGUACUACAAUGGCUGUCAACAGAGGGAAGCAAAGCCGCGAGGUGGAGCAAACCCCUAAAAGCAGUCUUAGUUCGGAUUGUAGGCUGCAACCCGCCUACAUGAAGUCGGAAUUGCUAGUAAUCGCAGAUCAGCAUGCUGCGGUGAAUACGUUCCCGGGCCUUGUACACACCGCCCGUCACGCCAUGGGAGUCGGUAACACCCGAAGCCUGUAGUCUAACCGCAAGGAGGACGCAGUCGAAGGUGGGAUUGAUGACUGGGGUG